CACGUAGGGCGCAAGCGUUGUCCGGAAUUAUUGGGCGUAAAGAGCUCGUAGGUGGUUUGUUACGUCCGCUGUGAAAUCCUAGGGCUUAACCCUGGGCUUGCAGUGGAUACGGGCAGACUAGAGGUAGGUAGGGGAGAAUGGAAUUCCUGGUGUAGCGGUGAAAUGCGCAGAUAUCAGGAAGAACACCCGUGGCGAAGGCGGCUCUCGUGGAACGCAACUGACGCUGAGACGCGAAAGCGUGGGGAGCAAACAGG
rnacentral:rRNA from 1 species